GGCGCAUUAGCUCAGUUGGUUAGAGCGCUGGUCUAGUAAACCAGAGGUCGGUGGUUCAAAUCCGCCAUGUGCCU